GCGGGUAUAGUUCAGUGGUAGAAUGUGAGCUUCCCAAGCUUAAGAUGUGGGUUCGAUUCCCAUUACCCGCU
rnacentral:tRNA from 1 species